AAGGAUAAGANAAAGUCAAAACGCAAACGAAACCGCUAAAAAAUUUAAAAAUCCAGUUGCAUAUAUAUACAUAUACAAUGAAGUAGCAAAAAUAGAAAUGCUAUCACAAAAUAUCUAAAAGCUGCAUUUUUACACCAAAACACUAAGUAAGCUCUACACAUUCUUCAGCACUUUUCUACACAGUGCGUACCUGUCCAUAUAUAUUUUUGCGCAACUAUCAUUGGAAUAAAUAUUCGGACAAUUGGAUGUUUGGAAUUCAAAUUAUUUUCAUGUUUUAUUGACACGUCUGCUUAAUGGAACUUUCGGCAUUACAAAAUGCCAAUUU